rnacentral:rRNA from 1 species
AUGGCGCGCGGGGAAGCCCUGCCGCCGCCUACCACCGCGCGGGCCAAGCCCGGCGGCAGUUGCCGGCGGCGGCGGGGGAGAGAGGACAGGAGGAAGGGGACCGAGGCGGCGCGAGGGUUUCGCCCCCGAGUCGCCCGCUCGGGCGACGCGGGGGAAGUGGAUCGAGAGGACUGUAUCGACGUCUUCAUCCGCCACCUCGGCCGCGGCGACGCCGACGAAGAGUUCAUGCGCGGCGUCGCGGACAAGCUCGGGCAGCUUCGGGCGCGCCACCAGAUCGGCAAGCGGGUCGAGGCCCUCGAAGCUCGCGUCGUCGAGGAGGCCGAGCGCACCAAAAGGUACAGUCUCGGCCAUGGCGAUCCCGGUCCCGCGGCCUCCAUGGGCAGGCGGCCGGAGUCCUCCUCGGUGGACGCUCGGCUGUCCGCGCUCUACGGCGAGGUCGGGGGUCUCGUGGGGAUCGAGAGGCCAAGGGACAAGAUUAUCCGCCUCUUGGAUGACAAGGAGAAGGAGCUGAAGGCGGUGUCCGUUGUUGGAUCUGGAGGGCAGAAAUUUUGCAUAGAACCAUGGUCCAGCCGCACCUAUGCUCAGCACCACACAUCUCACUAUAGUUUCUACAGGGAUCUGUGCAUGGCGGGUUCAGUAAAGCAUGGCGGGAACAAUCAAGAGAUGGGUUACAAGGCCUACGCAUGCUAA